rnacentral:rRNA from 1 species
UGGGGAAUUUUGGACAAUGGGGGAAACCCUGAUCCAGCCAUCCCGCGUGUGCGAUGAAGGCCUUCGGGUUGUAAAGCACUUUUGGCAGGAAAGAAACGUCAUGGGUUAAUACCCCGUGAAACUGACGGUACCUGCAGAAUAAGCACCGUCUAACUACGUGCCAGCAGCCGCGGUAAUACGUAGGGUGCAAGCGUUAAUCGGAAUUACUGGGCGUAAAGCGUGCGCAGGCGGUUCGGAAAGAAAGAUGUGAAAUCCCAGAGCUCAACUUUGGAACUGCAUUUUUAACUACCGGGAUAGAGUGUGUCAGAGGGAGGUGGAAUUCCGCGUGUAGCAGUGAAAUGCGUAGAUAUGCGGAGGAACACCGAUGGCGAAGGCAGCCUCCUGGGAUAACACUGACGCUCAUGCACGAAAGCGUGGGGAGCAAACAGG